rnacentral:rRNA from 1 species
UACGGGGGGGGCUAGCGUUGUUCGGAAUUACUGGGCGUAAAGGGUUCGUAGGUGGCCACUUAAGUCAGACGUGAAAUCCCUCAGCUUAACUGGGGAACUGCGUCUGAUACUGCGUGGCUUGAGUGCAGGAGAGGAAUGCGGAAUUCCAGGUGUAGCGGUGAAAUGCGUAGAUAUCUGGAGGAACACCGGUGGCGAAGGCGGCAUUCUGGACUGUAACUGACACUGAUGAACGAAAGCCAGGGGAGCAAACGGG